rnacentral:rRNA from 1 species
GUUUAUGGCCAUGUCAUCCUAAAUGUGUCAGAUCUGGUCUGAUCUCAGAAGGUAAGCAGGGUCGGGCCUGGUUAGUACUUGGAUGGGAGAAGUUUUGCAUCUAUGCUCA